UGGGGAAUAUUGCACAAUGGGCGCAAGCCUGAUGCAGCCAUGCCGCGUGUAUGAAGAAGGCCUUCGGGUUGUAAAGUACUUUCAGUCGGGAGGAAGGUGGUAAGGUUAAUAACCUUGGCAAUUGACGUUACCGACAGAAGAAGCACCGGCUAACCCCGUGCCAGCAGCCGCGGUAAUACGGAGGGUGCAAGCGUUAAUCGGAAUUACUGGGCGUAAAGCGCACGCAGGCGGUUGAUUGAGUCAGAUGUGAAAUCCCCGGGCUUAACCCGGGAAUUGCAUCUGAUACUGGUCAGCUAGAGUCUUGUAGAGGGGGGUAGAAUUCCAUGUGUAGCGGUGAAAUGCGUAGAGAUGUGGAGGAAUACCGGUGGCGAAGGCGGCCCCCUGGACAAAGACUGACGCUCAGGUGCGAAAGCGUGGGGAGCAAACAGG
rnacentral:rRNA from 1 species